rnacentral:rRNA from 1 species
GGGGGGGGGGGGGGGGGGGGCUAAGAGAGGCAGGGCGAGCGGGGGGGCGCGACGGGUGGUUCUCGGAUGUUAGCGGCGGACGGGGGGGUAACACGUGGAUACCCUACCUAUAAGACUGGGAUAACUUCGGGAAACCGGAGCUAAUACCUGAUAAUAUUUUUAACCGCAUGGUUCCAACGUGCAGGACGGUCUUGCUGUCACUUCUAGAUGGAGCCGCGCUGCAUUAGCUAGUUGGUAAGGUAACGGCUUAACAAGGCAACGAUGCAUAGCCGACCUGAGAGGGUGAUCGGCCACACUGGAACUGAGACACGGUCCAGACUCCUACGGGAGGCAGCAGUAGGGAAUCUUCCGCAAUGGGCGAAAGCCUGACGGAGCAACGCCGCGUGAGUGAUGAAGGUCUUCGGAUCGUAAAACUCUGUUAUUAGGGAAGAACAUAUGUGUAAGUAACUGGGCACAUCUUGACGGUACCUAAUCAGAAAGCCACGGCUAACUACGUG